CAGAGAGCAGCCGGGUGACAACGUGGCACAGAACGGCACUGCAUCGGAGUAGGCACACUGCAAAGACGAGACGAGUCCUCCCCAGAGAGGGGAGGCGGUUAAGGAGAGGAGAUUGCGUGGCUCGGAGCAGCCAGACCCGAUGGUGUGCUUCUCACCUCAGCGUGAUAGCCUGACCUUGACUCCUGAGUUCCACGAUCGCUUCACAACUGCAAGUCACCAUCAUACAAAAUUUGAGUUUCCCUAAGUCCGCGCCUUUGAGAGCUUUGGAACGAUAUGCAAGUUCAAGUCACCAUCCUGUUUCUUGCUACCUCCUGUGAGAAGACCAACAUUUGGGUUACACUUGUUUCUACUCUUGUUCUUCUGCUUGUUAUUGUUGCCUCUGCAGCCAUUGAUCACACACGUGUUGUCAUACAAAAACUGGUUAGCCUUUUUAUUUGUCUUGUGAAUUUUAUCAUUUGGUUCUUAAGUAUUACAAAUUAAUAUUGUGUACUCUCAUUGAUAUACAACUUGCAGUCAUUGUAAAUAUGCGUGAGUUAGGGGUGAGAAUGGCAUGCAAGCAAAAGAACAAGGAGAGGGAUGAUAGAGAUGCAAGAAGAGUAAAGAGGGCAAGAAAGUUUAUGUUAAUAGCGAACACAAUGAAAGUUCUUUAAAUGCUUGAUAAUGGUGAAAGCAACACUUCCUAGGGCAUAUUUUUGGUGUUAAUGAACCUACACAUCAUACAAUAAAGAAAAUUGAGAAAGCAGUUGGGGCCAGUGAAUCGGGGGCACACAAGAAUCACUGAGAAAAUCAUACACAACUCAAAAUGCCACAAUAGGGAAAAUAUAAAGAGAUUUGCACUUGUGGCUUCUAAAACAGAGAAGGUUGAAUAGGUCUCUUUCUGUGUGUAAAAUCUGCCAGUGAGCAUCACAAAAAUGCAAAUUUAAAUUUCAAUCUGGAUGGAAAGUUAUAAAAUUCAUUGCAAGUAAUGGGUGGUUGGGUAGGUUUAAGAAAUGCCAGGUGGGUGGAUCACUUGAGGUCUGGAGUUUGCAACUAGCCUGGCCAACAUGGUGAAACCUUGUCUCUACUAAAAAUACAAAAAUUAGCCAGGAUUGGUGGCGGGUACCUGUAAUCUCAGCUACUCAGGAGGCUGAGGCAGGAGAAUCGCUUGAACCUAGGAGGCAGAGGUUGCAGUGAGCUGAGAUCGUGCCAUCGCACUCCAGCCUGGGUGACGAGAGCAAAGCUCUGUCUCAAAAAAAGAAAAGAAGAGAAGAGAAAAGAGAAGAGAAGAAAGAAGAGAAGAGAAGAGAAGAGAAGCUGUGGCCUGUAAUGAAAAGAAGUGGAGAAGUGACUGUCAGAGGAAGCAGAUUAAGGAGCUGCCGGAGAGUAUCCUGAAUACCUGAAGAAGACGAUUGAGGACAAUGGCAAUUUGCCUGAGCAGGUUGUCAGUGCUGCUGAAACUCUGGAAGCAAAUGCCUACUUGCACAUCUAUUGCAAAGCAUGAGAAAAGGACCAGAGGCUUCAAGCCUGGAAAAGACAAACUCAAAGUUCUGCUUUGUUCCAGUGUGUUCUGAUUAAACCCAUGUUGCUUUACAGAUUCCAAAAUUGUUACCUUCUUUAAAGAGAAAGCCAGAAACACUUUUCUGUGUACAUGAAGGGAAACCAUGAAAUAUGGAUCACUGAGAAACUCUUUUUGAACUGGUCUUUGAAGUGUUUUGUUCUGAGGUUAAAUAACAUUUAAAUGAAAAAAAAAUCUUGACUUCACAGUGUUGUGAUUCUGGACACUGCUCCUACAGACAAAAAUGCAGUCAUAAAUGCUGCUCCUUGUGUUCAAGUCAUCUCCAUUACCCCCAGUACGACUCCACUCCUUCAACUCUUGCAUCUGAGAGUGCUAGCGAUGUACUGUGCUCUGCAUGUAUUUUGACUACCUGAAGAUCUUAUCAGAGACACCAGAACUUUACCAUGAAAGUGGCUUGGCAACAUUUCUCCGUUUGUAAUGCUUUAACAGGUGUAGAAGAAUCAGUGAGACAAAUAAAACAAUCAAUACUUAAUGAAGUCUGGCAGAAAUUUUGGAAUGAGGUUGUGACUGAUUUGGAAGGUUUCCUUCCAGUGGUAGAAGAAAUUGAAAAUAUUGUAACAUCUGCAAACCAUUUGAAUAGUGAAGGCCUUGAAGACAUUGAGUUAAGUGACAUUACUGAAUUGUUAGACUCUCACCUUCAAAAGAUAGUUGAGAAAUAUUUUGGAGAUGUGAUCACAUCAAAAGGCAAUAGAAGAAGCCAGCAUAGGUUAACAUCCAGAACUCUAAGAAUGUUCAAGUAUCUACUCCACAAAUGAAAUUGUCACAAUGAUUCAAAAGAAAGAGAUCCUUUGGUGGGCUACAUAUUGACUUUCAGGGGAGAAGAGGUUGACAUUAGGCCAUGUCAUUCAAACCCGUUCUGCAAACAGGAAAACAGGAAGUAGAAACGCCGCACACAGAUAGUUAAACCUUGGGAUUCAGACUCUGAUGGCUCUGAUGAUAUGGUGAUUUGUGUGCUGGGGAUGAAAGAGGAGCAGAAGACUGAGCUUACAUCUCUUCAGACGAAAUGCAAUUUUCUCUAUUCUUUCCCUGUUACUAUUGUUACGACCAAGCAUUUUCAUUGAUCCAUUAUCAUCUUCAUCUUGAGAUCACAAAGGAAGUUAAUUGCCUGAUAUCCACUCUUGUUAAUAUAAAAUAUCAAUGAUAUUUAUUUUAUUGUUUUAGUUUGGUGAACAAACUGAUUGUCUAGGCUUUCAUAAUACUCAUGUCCUUGCCUCAUUUUUUCCUAAAAAGUCUUAAAUUCCUCCAACAUGGGUACUCUGAGAGUUUCGGGAACUCAACUAUAGCAUUUAAGGAGUGGGCUGCUACUGUACUUGGCUGGAUAAUUUGAUUUUGUACUCCUGAAAUUUGUUUUAAUUCUGAUUAAGCCUAACUUGCGAUCUCACCAGAAAGGAUUAGUUUGGUAUAAGUUAAAUUAAUUUCUUUUCCAGCAAUUGUAUAUGUUAGCUAUUGGCUGAUCCUGAAAAGCAGUAUAUUUAUGUUAAAUUUCCAGAUUUCCUUUGGUAGCUAAUCAAGGAGGAACAGCUGCUAGAGUUCAUUUUCAUAGAUUCUUUCUGUUCUCAUAUCUGGCCUCCUCAGUGAUUUGAAGAAUUGAAUAUCCUCCAAAAAAUGGAUAUUAUUACCUCCUGUUCUCUGAUGGUGAUGGAGACUUCAUUCUCAGAUUGUUUUUAAAUUCCUUUCAUAAUUCCAUAUAUUUAC
rnacentral:lncRNA from 1 species